rnacentral:tRNA from 1 species
GCCCGAGUGGCGGAAUUGGCAGACGCACCGCACUCAAAAUGCGGCGAUGAAAAUCGUGUGGGUUCGAGUCCCACCUCGGGCAC